UACGGGGGGGGCAAGCGUUGUUCGGAAUUACUGGGCGUAAAGGGCGCGUAGGCGGUUUGUUAAGUUGGAUGUGAAAACUCUGGGCUUAACCCAGAGCCUGCAUCCAAAACUGGCAGGCUAGAGUUUUGGAGGGGGAAGCGGAAUUCCUGGUGUAGCAGUGAAAUGCGUAGAUAUCAGGAGGAACACCGGUGGCGAAGGCGGCUUCCUGGACAAAAACUGACGCUGAGGCGCGAAAGCUAGGGGAGCAAACGGGG
rnacentral:rRNA from 1 species